GGUGAGGUAGCUCAGUUGGUUAGAGCAUCGGAUUCAUAACCCGAAGGUCAGGAGUUCAAAUCUCCUUCUCACUA
rnacentral:tRNA from 2 species